rnacentral:rRNA from 1 species
GCAAGAUUAAAACUCAAAGGAAUAGACGGGGACCCGCACAAGCGGUGGAGCAUGUGGUUUAAUUCGAAGAUACGCGAAGAACCUUACCUGGGCUUGAUAUCCUAAGAACCUUAUAGAGAUAUGAGGGUGCUAGCUUGCUAGAACUUAGAGACAGGUGCUGCACGGCUGUCGUCAGCUCGUGUCGUGAGAUGUUGGGUUAAGUCCCGCAACGAGCGCAACCCACGUAUUUAGUUGCUAACGGUUCGGCCGAGCACUCUAAAUAGACUGCCUUCGUAAGGAGGAGGAAGGUGUGGACGACGUCAAGUCAUCAUGGCCCUUAUGCCCAGGGCGACACACGUGCUACAAUGGCAUAUACAAUGAGACGCAAUACCGCGAGGUGGAGCAAAUCUAUAAAAUAUGUCCCAGUUCGGAUUGUUCUCUGCAACUCGAGAGCAUGAAGCCGGAAUCGCUAGUAAUCGUAGAUCAGCCAUGCUACGGUGAAUACGUUCCCGGGUCUUGUACUCACCGCCCGUCACACCAUGGGAGUUGAUUUCACUCGAAGCCGGAAUACUAAACUAGUUACCGUCCACAGUGGAAUCAGCGACUGGGGUGAAGUCGUAACAAGGUAACCGUAGGAGAACCUGCGGUUGGAUCACCUCCUUU